AUUGAACGCUAGCGGGAUGCUUUACACAUGCCAGUCGAACGGCAGCGCGGACUUCGGUCUGGCGGCGAGUGGCGAACGGGUGAGUAAUGUAUCGGAACGUGCCCAGUAGCGGGGGAUAACUACGCGAAAGCGUAGCUAAUACCGCGUACGCCCUACGGGGGAAAGCAGGGGAUCGUAAGACCUUGCACUAUUGGAGCGGCCGAUAUCGGAUUAGCUAGUUGGUGAGGUAACGGCUCACCAAGGCGACGAUCCGUAGCUGGUUUGAGAGGACGACCAGCCACACUGGGACUGAGACACGGCCCAGACUCCUACGGGAGGCAGCAGUGGGGAAUUUUGGACAAUGGGGGCAACCCUGAUCCAGCCAUCCCGCGUGUGCGAUGAAGGCCUUCGGGUUGUAAAGCACUUUUGGCAGGAAAGAAACGUCGCGGGCUAGUACCCCGUGGAACUGACGGUACCUGCAGAAUAAGCACCGGCUAACUACGUG
rnacentral:rRNA from 1 species